rfam:Oryza glaberrima chromosome 1 Oglab01_0241_8, whole genome shotgun sequence.
AAUACUUGUCGCUUUGAGUUUUUGUUUGUAACUUUUGACAUUCGUCUUAUUUAAAAAAUUAUGAAAUUAGUAUUUAUUUUGUUUGUGAUUUGAUUUAUUAUCAAAAGUACUUUAAGUAUGACUUAUCAUUUUCUAUAUUUGCAUUAAUUUUUCAAAUAAGACGAAUGGUCAAACGUUGCAAGGAAAAAGUCAAAGCGAUAACUAAU